GAGGCCUUAGCUUAAUUAAAGUGUUUGAGUUGCAUUCAUGAGAUGGGUGUUAGAGUUACCCAGGUCUUC
rnacentral:tRNA from 1 species